AUUGGAGGUCGUUGAGGACUUCGGAAGGAGUCGAGAAGGAAGUUGAAUAGAUGAAAAGUUGCAGGGAUUUAAGAUGCGAGUGGGUGUUGAGAUGCACGAGGAAAAAAGUCUAAAUUUUACAUUCAUUUUUUCUAGAAAAAAUAAAAGUUAUUUUUUAAAAAAAUAAAAACGCAGCAAACAAACAACUUUUUUGUACAUCAAAUUCUAUAUUUCUACUAUAAAAAAAAAUAAACAGCUAUAUGAAAGAGAUAAAGAAUUACUCUUUUGCAAAAAAAAAAUCUUGGACUACUAUUAUUUUUAAUUAUUUUAAGUCAUAAGGUUGUGAAAAUAUCCAAAAUAACAAUGGUAGAGUGAGGAUUUUCUAUAAUUGGGUUGGGCAUGGAUUACUCGAGACUAGUGCAAUUACCGAUGGGUCAACCUAACUCUAUGUAGCAUCAUCGUUUUUUAUGUUUUUUUAUCAAGUAUUGUAUUUCUCAUUUUUUUGGUCACUUUCUUCUUCUUUUCUGGAUACCAACUUAAAAUUUUCUGUUUAUAUAUAUAUUCUGCAUUAUUUUAAAUCAUUAUAAUUGAUAGGUGAGAUGGUUAUUGGUCACCUAGUUAGGUAUGGUUUCAAGAUAUUAAAUAGGUUGGUUAGAUGGAGUGUCUCACAGAGACCUAUGUAGCCGAACCCAAUACCCUUACCUGGAGAGGUUGAGGGCUGACACUUUGGUAGUAAUAUUCGUACCAUAUUCCUUGAAAAGAUGCAAUUUUUUUGACAAACAUAAAGAUAUAUAAAUUAUGAAGAUGCGGUAUUUGAAGAUAUUAUAAAGAUGAUGGAAGAUCGUUGAAGAUCUUUGAUAAUUUGUUACCGCAUUGGUAAGUAAGAGAGAUUGGGCAAUUUGAUACCGUAUUAAAGUACGAUCCAAAAGCUUAC
rnacentral:lncRNA from 1 species